UACGAAGGGGGCUAGCGUUGCUCGGAAUCACUGGGCGUAAAGCGCACGUAGGCGGAUUGCUAAGUCAGGGGUGAAAUCCUGGAGCUCAACUCCAGAACUGCCUUUGAUACUGGCGAUCUUGAGUCCGGGAGAGGUGAGUGGAACUGCGAGUGUAGAGGUGAAAUUCGUAGAUAUUCGCAAGAACACCAGUAGCGAAGGCGGCUCACUGGCCCGGUACUGACGCUGAGGCACGAAAGCUAGGGGAGCAAAUGGG
rnacentral:rRNA from 1 species